rnacentral:ncRNA from 1 species
CAAAAGCUUGGUCCUGGCUUUAAUGUCAGCUUUGAUUAGAUUUAUACAUGCAAGUAUCUGCGCCCCUGUGAGAAUGCCCAACAAUUUCCCCUUCGGAAAAAAGGAGCUGGUAUUAGGCACAACCCCAGUUUGCCCACGACGCCUUGCUAUGCCACACCCCCAAGGGCCCCCAGCAGUAAUAAACAUUAAGCAAUAAGUGUAAACUUGACUUAGUCAAUAUCAACCAGGGCCGGUUAAACUCGUGCCAGCCACCGCGGUUAUACGAGAGACCCAAGUUGACAGAGCUCGGCGUAAAGCGUGGUUAACAGAAAUGGAACUAAAGCCGAACACGCUCAAGGCUGUUAUACGCUUCUGAGUGUGGGAAGUCCACCAACGAAGGUGGCUUUAAUAAGGUGACCCCACGAAAAUUAGGAAACAAACUGGGAUUAGAUACCCCACUAUGCCUAAUUGUAAACAAAGGCAGAAACUCCCACUACACUGCCCGCCCGGGAACAACGAGCCCCAGCUUAAAACCCAAAGGACUUGGCGGUGCUUUAGACCCACCUAGAGGAGCCUGUUCUAGAAUCGAUACUCCCCGCUUGACCUCACCCUCUCUUGCUAUUUGCCGCCUAUAUACCGCCGUCGUCAGCUUACCCUAUGAAGGCUCCCCAGUAAGCAGGGUUGGCACAGCCCAAAACGUCAGGUCAAGGUGUAGCGCAUGGGGGGGGAAAGAAAUGGGCUACAUUUGCUGCCCCAGCAAAUAACGGACCACGUGAUGAAAUCAGACGUGCGAAGGAGGAUUUAGCAGUAAGAGGGGACAAGAGCGCCCUUCUGAAUAUGGCCCUGAAGCGCGCACACACCGCCCGUCACUCUCCCCAAACUCGACCAAAGCAAAUAACUAAUAAGAUAAGUUAAAAAAGGGGAGGCAAGUCGUAACAUGGUAAGUGUACCGGAAGGUGCACUUGGACAAACC